rnacentral:tRNA from 1 species
GUUCCGGUAGCUCAGGGGUAGUAGCGGCAGAUUGCAACUGUGCAAGUAUCUGCAGGUCGCGCGUUCAAAUCGCGCCCGGAACU